rnacentral:other from 2 species
CGCUAUCAUCAUUAACUUUAUUUAUUACCGUCAUUCAGCUUUGAAUGUCUGUUUAUCCCUGAUUAGACCGAAUGCAACGCAUUCGGUUUUUUUU